AUCUAUGGCCACACCACCCUGAAUGCACCUGAUCUUGUCAGAUCUUGGAAGCUAAGCAGGGUCAGACCUGGUUAGUACUUGGGUGGGAGACUGCCUGGGAAUACCAGGUGCUAUAGGCU
rnacentral:rRNA from 1 species